UGGAGAUCAGGAUGUCAAGAGGGCUGAGGGAGCGUUGCUUCUACUCACCAGGUCCUCUGAGCACCCCUGGCCACUGUGCUUCAACUACCCCGUCGUUCUCCCACACAGUGUAAAAGUCAAACUACCUGGGACCCAAAUUUUGCCCUCCCCAGAUCCUGCAGCCAGUAAGUCCUGCUUGUGCCAGCUCCUGUGUGAGCUGCUGUGAAGGGGUGAGCGUGCCAAGGCAGGAAGGCGGUGCGGUUCACAGCAGCCAAGGGCACAGGCGGCACACCUCUGAAUGACGUGGAAAGGAAAGGAGAACAAUGAAGUGUGUCCCUAAAUCAGUGAAGAAAUCUCAAAACCAAAAACAUCCUACAUCAUGGGUUUUAUGGCUGUUACAGAGUUCUGCUGACUUAUUAUUGGCAUAGACGCCAGAGAAUGGUUUUAUAUAAGGAGAAAAGAAAGCUGGGGAGUAAUUGAGGGUUGGCUACUAAAUCAACAUAGAGAGGCUUUCAAAUGCUAGGGCCAGCAGACCGCAGGAGCAGUAACUGCUUUCUUCUGUGGUGUUAUGCGAGUGCUAGUGUUUUAUACCUUAGCAGUAGUACCAGGAGGCUUCAAGAACCUGCUUGGGCUGUAUCAGCCUGAAUAGUGAUGGAAGAAGACGAAAGGCAGAAGAGGAUGAAACUCUGCUUUUAAAAGGUCAAGCAGCAUCAGUAAUGAGAGAGCUGCACGUAGAGACAUCUAGCACAGGUAAAGGAGCAGCCAGACUGCAAAACAAGGACAACAGCUCAUCCUGUAAGUAACCUGAUCAGACAGAGGGAGGUGUAGACUCAGUGAUAUUCAUUCAGAGUGAAUAUCAGUUACUUUUCCACAUCUUUCAUUUUGUUCUUGUGUAAGUACUAUUGAGAGGAUUUAAAAACAAUUCUGGUCUCAUGCUAGAACUUCAGACAAGUACUCUGAGGUUCUUCAGGGCAGCACCACAAAAAUCCUGCAGGGGCCCCUCCUCCCUUGCCACCUUUAUUUAUAGAGCUGUAGAGCAAAUGUAAUUACAAGUUGGUACAAAUUAAAUUGAUUAUCUGGUAUUUCUAAACUUCUUGUCCUCUGGAUACAGAAGAA
rnacentral:lncRNA from 1 species